rnacentral:rRNA from 1 species
AUUGAACGCUGGCGGCAGGCCUAACACAUGCAAGUCGAGCGGAUGAAGGGAGCUUGCUCCUGGAUUCAGCGGCGGACGGGUGAGUAAUGCCUAGGAAUCUGCCUGGUAGUGGGGGAUAACGUCCGGAAACGGGCGCUAAUACCGCAUACGUCCUGAGGGAGAAAGUGGGGGAUCUUCGGACCUCACGCUAUCAGAUGAGCCUAGGUCGGAUUAGCUAGUUGGUGGGGUAAAGGCCUACCAAGGCGACGAUCCGUAACUGGUCUGAGAGGAUGAUCAGUCACACUGGAGCUGAGACACGGUCCAGGCUCCUACGAGAGGCAGCAGUCGGGAAUAUUGGACAGUGGGCGAAAGCAUGAUCCAGCCAUGCCGCGUGUGUGAAGAAGGUCUUCGGAUUGUAAAGAACUUUAAGUUGGGAGGAAGGGCAGUAAGUUAAUACCUUGCUGUUUUGACGGUACCAACAGAAUAAGCACCGGCUAACUUCGUG